AAACAGGUUUUUGUAAAAACCACACACGAUAUAAAAUGAUUUUAGU
rfam:Chryseobacterium sp. 39-10 SCNpilot_bf_inoc_scaffold_241, whole genome shotgun sequence.